UCAGCAUCUUCUCUAGUGUGCUUAGGAGAUGAAGCUGUGCCUUGCGGAUGAACUUGGUUUAAACCCAGACGAAACCAUGAGUUAUUAGUGAAAGCCUGAUUGCUGGUAGUUUGACGCUGCAGUUGUAAUGUUAAUAGGCAGGGAGAGAAGGAUGCGGGAAGCAGGUGUGUGACUUCUGUGAACAGCGACAGCACAGGCGUGUGUGACCCUAGGAAUCCAGGGCACAGCAAAGCCUUUGCUUCUGAUCCAGCCUAUUGGUCUCAGAGGAGCUUCCUAAAGGACGAGAACGGCAUGCUCAUCUCCGCAGGAUCCAGCAGUUCCGUGGGCCAGCCUGAAAACCAUGUGGGAAAGUGCUGGCCCUUGCUGGGAAGUCAGGGACAAGCCUUCAUCAAGCUGUCUGUGCCAAUCCUUCCCAGAGCAGUCACCAUGGACCACGUUUCAGGACAACGUUCCCUGGAGACAGUAUCUGCAGAGCUCCAAAGGACAUGGCUGUCUACUGUGUGAGGCGCUCUGGUUUCUCCACCCCCGUGUUUCUCUUGGGCCUGA